ACAAGCUUGAAAUAGUCGUUUCAGCUAAUGAAGAGCUCCGACAAGAGGUUAAUUGCAACUCUACUGAAUUCAAUUUCUGCUUCUGUUGGUGAUUAUGAGAUUCAUGCAUAUGAUGAUGGGGAAAAGCUUGCUGAAUUGUAUGAAAAAUCGCAACUGAUUGGGUCCAGAUGCAGCAGAGCCCCAGGCAUCAAAGAUGAUCACAUGAACAUCAAGGCAGGUGGGACCCACUUCUCCUUUCUUUUUUUCAUGAACGAAGACUGUGAAAAUAUAAAAUUAUAUGUAAAAAUAUCAAAAAUACAAAAUAUCUAUUAUAAAGUAUUGCUAAAAUCAAGAGAACAAAGACAUCAAGAACAAAGAGAAGAGAGUAUUUUCAUAAUCUUUUGUCACUCUAUCCAUCACUUUACAAUUGUCAUAUUUAUAGAAGUAAGAUCAUCAAUACUCCUAGUAAGUUACAAAACUAAAGUCAUGAGUUACAUGUAUUUAGAUAUCCAUUAUAUUAUGAAUCUAGACAUAAUUUUAUAACACUCCUCCUUGGAUGUCUAUUGUAUAACUAUACGCAUUGAAAGUUGCCUCAUUAAAAAUCUUACCAGGAAAAACUCAAUGGGAAAAAACCUUGGUUAAGGAAAAAAGAGUGCAGCGCGUAUUGACUCCUUCUCAUGAAUGUAUCCUUAAGUCCUUCAGUUGUUGCAUUCCAAUAUUGCGACGCAGUCCUUCAAACGUUGCAGUUGGUAAUGUUUUGGUGAACAAAUCUGCUAGAUUAUCUUUUGAGCGAAUUUGCUGAACAUCAAUGUCACCACACUUAUCAAGGUCAUGCGUGAAAAAGAAUUUUGGUGAGAUAUGCUUUGUUCUAUCUCCUUUGAUGUAUCCUCCUUUUAAUUGAGCUAUACAUGCAGUAUUGUCUUCAUACAAAGUGGUUGGAGUUCCUCUGCUGGAGGAUAAACCACACGUUUCACGAAUAUGUUGAGUCAUUGAUCUUAACCACACACAUUCUCGACUUGCUUCAUGGAUUGCAAGUAUUUCAGCAUGAUUAGAUGAAGUGGCAACUAAUGUUUGCUUUGUAGAUCUCUAUGAUAUAGCAGUAUCACCACACAUAAAAAGAUAACCUGUUUGAGAUCGACCUUUAUGUGGAUCAGAUAGAUAUCCU
rnacentral:lncRNA from 1 species